UGAGGAAUAUUGGACAAUGGGCGAGAGCCUGAUCCAGCCAUGCCGCGUGCAGGAAGACGGCCCUAUGGGUUGUAAACUGCUUUUAUACGGGAAGAAACCCACCUACGUGUAGGUGGCUGACGGUACCGUAAGAAUAAGGAUCGGCUAACUCCGUGCCAGCAGCCGCGGUAAUACGGAGGAUCCAAGCGUUAUCCGGAAUCAUUGGGUUUAAAGGGUCCGUAGGUGGAUAAUUAAGUCAGGGGUGAAAGUCUGCAGCUCAACUGUAGAAUUGCCUUUGAUACUGGUUAUCUUGAAUCAUUAUGAAGUGGUUAGAAUAUGUAGUGUAGCGGUGAAAUGCAUAGAUAUUACAUAGAAUACCAAUUGCGAAGGCAGAUCACUAAUAAUGUAUUGACACUGAUGGACGAAAGCGUGGGGAGCGAACA
rnacentral:rRNA from 1 species